rnacentral:ncRNA from 16 species
CGCCUGCAUCAGGAACGAGCCAGCCUUCAACUGCAGGCUCCGCCAACCGGGCCAGGAGCGGCCACGGUGGAUCGGGGGAGACCCCGGAUGUGCGCCUCUCGCGAGAGCGGCGAACCAGUAACGCUCCG